rnacentral:tRNA from 1 species
AAACAAAUAGCUUAAAUUUAAAGCAUUACAUUGAAGCUGUAACUAUAGAAUAUUUCUUUUGUUUA